AAGACAGUUAAAGAGAAAACAACAUCAAAGGCAGUUGAGUCUGAAGAGCCUUCUAAGGCACGUAAAAGACCAACCAACGUCCCUUCCACUGAGACUGGCCCAUCGAAGAAGCCAAAACCUAACACGAUAGUCGUCAGUGACGAAGAAGAGGUAUAAGAAGAAGAACAAAGUUUCCAGAGAAAGAGGAGCCAGCCUC